rnacentral:rRNA from 1 species
UACAGAGGUCUCAAGCGUUGUUCGGAUUCAUUGGGCGUAAAGGGUGCGUAGGCGGCGCGGUAAGUCGGGUGUGAAAUCUUGGAGCUUAACUCCGAAACUGCAUUCGAUACUGCCGUGCUUGAGGACUGGAGAGGAGACUGGAAUUUACGGUGUAGCGGUGAAAUGCGUAGAGAUCAUGAGGAAGACCAGUGGCGAAGGCGGGUCUCUGGACAGUUCCUGACGCUGGGGCACGAAGGUCAGGGGAGCAAACGGG